rnacentral:rRNA from 1 species
CCUACGGGAGGCAGCAGUAGGGAAUCUUUCACAAUGGGCGAAAGCCUGAUGGAGCAACGCCGCGUGCAGGAUGAAGGCCUUCGGGUUGUAAAAUGCUUUUAUAAGCGAGAAAUAUGAUGGUAACUUAUGAAUAAGGAUCGGAUAACUACGUGCCGGCAGCCGCGGUCAUACGUAGGAGCCGAGCAUUAUCCGGAGUGACUGGGUGUAAAGAGUUUCGUAGGUGGCAUAAUAAGUAGCUAGGGAAAUCUGGUGGCUCAACCAUUCAGACUAUUAGCUAAACUGUUAAGCUCGAGACCGUUAGGGGGAUCUGGAAUUUCUAGUGUAGGGGUGAAAUCCGUAGAUAUUAGAAGGAACACCGAUAGCGUAGGCAGGAUGCUGGGACGGUUCUGACACUAAGGCACGAAAGCGUAGGGAGCAAACGGGAUUAGAUACCCGUGUAGUC